rnacentral:rRNA from 1 species
UACGAAGGGGGCUAGCGUUGUUCGGAAUUACUGGGCGUAAAGCGUGCGCAGGCGGCUUUGCAAGACAGAUGUGAAAUCCCCGGGCUUAACCUGGGAACUGCAUUUGUGACUGCAUGGCUAGAGUGCGGCAGAGGGGGAUGGAAUUCCGCGUGUAGCAGUGAAAUGCGUAGAUAUGCGGAGGAACACCGAUGGCGAAGGCAAUCCCCUGGGCCUGCACUGACGCUCAUGCACGAAAGCGUGGGGAGCAAACAGG